GUGCUUGCCAGAGAGAGAACAAGAAAGCAAGCAAUCCAACUCCAUUGGAAUUAGAACAAACAUCACUUGCGGGUAAUUACUGCAAGUCUCUAGACACAUUAACAACACCCGGCAGAAGUUCCACCUCCUGGGGACAAUUGCAUAUACUGGUUUUGACUGGG